CUUUCACUAGGGUUUUGCUUUUUCAUUUAUUUUUUUCGCUAGGGUUUUUCUAUUUUAUUUCUCAGUUUUUCAAUUAAUAAUAAUGGUGAUUUUUGAUUUGCAGAAUUCUCAGUAUGUUGGAUGGAUCAACGCAUGCGAUGAUGCUGUUUUUGUUUUGUGGUAUUUGUGACUGGAAAAACUCAAGAUAGCCUUUUCCUUCAGAAACAACUUAUAGGUUUUUUUUUAUUUCCAGAAAAUGAUGAUGCAGAAACGCAACGUAUAGAUCUGGUGAUUUUUUGUUUUUUUUUUUGUUUGUUCUGUUCUGUUUUGUAUUUUAUUUUAUUUUUUUGUUAUGGUCUCUGCAAGGUUCCAUUAUCAGUAUUAGAAUCAAGAGAAAAAAAAUUUAAAAGCGCCCUAAUCAACUCCUAGAUCCCCGGGAACCAGCAUUUAACCCGCACCAAAUGUGCAAGUUUCUUCUUUUAUCGUGCUCCGGUGAGAACAUUAUAAUUCAAGCACCAAAUGGUCCAGUUUCUUCUUCUUACUUCCCACGAUGAGCGGAGAGGACAAUAUAAUCCAAGAUCAGUAGAAGAGGUAUUUAUAAGAGAAUAAGCGCCGGAAUAAUUCAAGAUUUUGUUAUUGAUGUUGAAGAUUGUUUACGCAGUGAGAUGUUUUGUGGUUAUAUAUGAUGAAGAAUUGUUCGCCAUCUUGGUUAGGGUUUUCUUCUUUUCCCGCUCUUUAAAUAUUUAAAAAACUGAUUUUGUUAACUGAUUUUUUUUUCCUAAGAUUCCACAAGCCUAUAGGUGUUGAUGGCUGCGGUAACGGCACGGGAGGUCAUGAGAAUCGAUACUAAUCAUAUUUGGAGCUUCGUGUUGUUGGUGAUACUGUUAAGGAUUUCUUCGAAUACAACUGAACUAGAUGCUCUCUAAUUUCUCAAUUUGGGUUCUUAGUUAUUGGGUUAGAUAUUAAGGAGUUCGAUUAUAUUUAUAUUUAUGUUUGUUAAAAUCUGCGGGCAUCCAACUCAAAAUCAAUUGGCAAUGAGUGGAGCGUCCCUUCCAUAUUAUAUUUAAGUUAAUUAAGCGGAUUCUAGAAAUGUGUGAUUAUUGUCCUUUCACACGCUCCCUCACGUGUAAGGCCAGUCACUCAACCUACCACGUGGACCUACGUACGAGUAACCAGUCAAUCGGUAACAGGUGUACAGGUGAGUGAUUAAAUCGGAGGAUAACACCUCGGCCAGUAUCAGCCAACACUCUGGGUGUACAAGUGACAAAAUCGGUUAAACACUUCGGCCAGUAACUCAACCUACACCCGGCGUACGCAGGUCUGGGUCUGGGGCUUAGCUCUGAUACCAUAUUAAAGUUUGUGGGCAUCCAACUCAAAACCAAUUGGCAAUGAGUGGAGCGGCCCUUCAAUAUUAUGUUUAACUUAAUUAAGCGGAUUCUAGCGAUGUGGGACUAUUGUCCCUUCACAAUGUUUCAGGUUGUAAACUCUAUAUGGCACCAUGGCAUAUCAAAAUAUGCCUUUGGAGAACAUAUAAUAACUAAAGCGUUACGUAGUGACUUUUUACCAAGUCGUCAGCGCACCAUGUCAUAUGGGCAGAUGAAGUGUGCCAAUAAUUGUUUGCACAGACGACUAUUUUUCAAUAAAAUCGAUUAUAUGGCUAGGGUAUAUGGCAUGGUCCAUGAUAAUUGAUAAUUGUUUGUGAAAAGACAAUAAUCUCACAUCGCUAGAAUCCACUUAAUUAAC